rnacentral:lncRNA from 1 species
GGGGGAUAUCGCUGCUCCCGCCCUCCAGCCGCGCUGCCCCUGCCGCCCAGCCGGGGAAGCGAGGUAAACUCGGGCGGCCGUCGGGAACGGCCCCGGGCGGUGCGGGGCUUUGUUCCCGGUGGGGUGAGAGGAGGCUGACAACAGCUCAUCUGGAGAGUUGGCUGGUGGACAAACCAAGCCUCAAGAAACAGCUUCAAGGUCCCACAUCUUCAAAAGCAAGUCUUUUAAGAAAUCCAAAAUUUGUGGAAUCUGCAAACAAGUAAUUGAUAGCCAAGGCAUUUCCUGCAGAGCUUGCAAAUAUGCCUGCCACAGGAAAUGUGAAGAAAAGGUAAGCAUAUUUAUUUGCCUCCCUUCUUGCUGUUGAUCCACACAUAUUUGAAGUUGAG